UACGUAGGGACCGAGCGUUGUCCGGAUUCAUUGGGCGUAAAGAGCUCGUAGGCGGCUGCUCAAGUCGAAUGUGAAAACUCGAGGCUCAACCUCGAGCCUGCAUUCGAUACUGGGCGGCUAGAGUCUGGUAGGGGGAUCUGGAAUUCCUGGUGUAGCGGUGGAAUGCGCAGAUAUCGGGAAGAACACCCGUGGCGAAGGCGGCUCUCUGGGACGGUACUGACGCUGAGACGCGAAAGCGUGGGGAGCGAACAGG
rnacentral:rRNA from 1 species